CUUGAUACUAUGAUUGUUAUUAUUUUUGUCUACCCUCUUAUCUCUUGUUAAUUUAAUUAUUUGCUUUCAUAAUAGUAGCUAAAGAAGUAUGUUUGCUAUUGUUGCCUUUUCUAAAGCUUGAUUGGUUCGACGAAAAGAAGUAUCUGUUCUAUUAUCCCCAGUGUAUACAUAUACUUUAAACAUAACUCUAUUUUUUUUAAAUGAUGGUAUUCUGGUUGGUUUAAACAUACGUCGGUACUCAUCCAUUUAAUAUAUGAUCCUUCUUACACGUACACAUGUGGGUAACGUUUUCCUGUAAUAUUUAGGCAUAUAGAAAAAAUUCAAUAAAUAUUGCCGUUGCUACAAAUUCCAAUUUUGCUAACUCAACCCCAAAAACUAGCUUAUAAGGUGAGGAUUGCCCAAGCCGUAUAAGGAGACCAAGGACCUCAAAUCACUCCGAUGUGGGACAACUCAACACCCCCCUCACGCCCUGAUCUCUGGAGCGUGGACAAACAUAAAUGGGGGCCCAACAUCGGUAACAAUAAUUGGGAUGGGCGUGGCUCUGAUACCAUGAUAAGAAUGGACAUUGUGCCUAACUCAUCCCCAAAAGCUAGCUUAUGAGGUGAGGAUUGCCCAAGCCAUAUAAGGAGACCAAGGACCUCAAAUCCCUCCAAUGUGGGACAACUCAA
rnacentral:lncRNA from 1 species